rnacentral:rRNA from 1 species
AAAGACUUGACGGUACUUCAUAACAACCUAGAGGAGCCUGUCUAACAACCGAUACCCCACGAUUAACCCAACCCACCCUAGCCUAAACAGUCUAUAUACCACCGUCGCCAGCUUACCUUGUGAAAGGAAAAAAGUAAGCAAAACAAGCCACCCUUAACACGACAGGUCGAGGUGUAACUUAUGGGUGGGUAAAAGAUGGGCUACAUUUUCUGUCACAGAAAAUACGGACAAAUUAUGAAAUUUAAAAACUGAAGGCGGAUUUAGCAGUAUGUUAAGAAUAGAAUGCCUAACUGAAACCAAUGUAAUGAAGUGUGUACACACCGCCCGUCAUCCCUG